ACGAACGCUGGCGGCGUGCCUAAUACAUGCAAGUCGAACGAAGCUUUCUUCCACCGAAUGCUUGCAUUCACCGAAAGAAGCUUAGUGGCGAACGGGUGAGUAACACGUAGGCAACCUGCCCAAAAGAGGGGGAUAACACUUGGAAACAGGUGCUAAUACCGCAUAACCAUGAACACCGCAUGAUGUUCAUGUAAAAGACGGCUUUUGCUGUCACUUUUGGAUGGGCCUGCGGCGUAUUAACUUGUUGGUGGGGUAACGGCCUACCAAGGUGAUGAUACGUAGCCGAACUGAGAGGUUGAUCGGCCACAUUGGGACUGAGACACGGCCCAAACUCCUACGGGAGGCAGCAGUAGGGAAUCUUCCACAAUGGACGAAAGUCUGAUGGAGCAACGCCGCGUGAAUGAAGAAGGCCUUCGGGUCGUAAAAUUCUGUUGUCAGAGAAGAACGUGCGUGAGAGUAACUGUUCACGUAUUGACGGUAUCUGACCAGAAAGCCACGGCUAACUACGUGCCAGCAGCCGCGGUAAUACGUAGGUGGCGAGCGUUGUCCGGAUUUAUUGGGCGUAAAGGGAACGCAGGCGGUCUUUUAAGUCUGAUGUGAAAGCCUUCGGCUUAACCGAAGUAGUGCAUUGGAAACUGGAAGGCUUGAGUGCAGAAGAGGAGAGUGGAACUCCAUGUGUAGCGGUGAAAUGCGUAGAUAUAUGGAAGAACACCAGUGGCGAAAGCGGCUCUCUGGUCUGUAACUGACGCUGAGGUUCGAAAGCGUGGGUAGCAAACAGGAUUAGAUACCCUGGUAGUCCACGCCGUAAACGAUGAGUGCUAAGUGUUGGAGGGUUUCCGCCCUUCAGUGCUGCAGCUAACGCAUUAAGCACUCCGCCUGGGGAGUACGGUCGCAAGACUGAAACUCAAAGGAAUUGACGGGGGCCCGCACAAGCGGUGGAGCAUGUGGUUUAAUUCGAAGCAACGCGAAGAACCUUACCAGGUCUUGACAUCUUCUGACAAUUCCAGAGAUGGAACGUUCCCUUCGGGGACAGAAUGACAGGUGGUGCAUGGUUGUCGUCAGCUCGUGUCGUGAGAUGUUGGGUUAAGUCCCGCAACGAGCGCAACCCUUAUUGUCAGUUGCCAUCAUUGAGUUGGGCACUCUGGCGAGACUGCCGGUGACAAACCGGAGGAAGGUGGGGAUGACGUCAAAUCAUCAUGCCCCUUAUGACCUGGGCUACACACGUGCUACAAUGGACGGUACAACGAGUCGCUAACUCGCGAGGGCAAGCUAAUCUCUUAAAGCCGUUCUCAGUUCGGAUUGCAGGCUGCAACUCGCCUGCAUGAAGUCGGAAUCGCUAGUAAUCGCGAAUCAGCAUGUCGCGGUGAAUACGUUCCCGGGCCUUGUACACACCGCCCGUCACACCAUGAGAGUUUGUAACACCCAAAGUCGGUGGGGUAACCUUUUGGAGCCAGCCGCCUAAGGUGGGACAGAUGAUUGGGGUG
rnacentral:rRNA from 1 species